rnacentral:rRNA from 1 species
GACGAACGCUGGCGGCGUGCUUAACACAUGCAAGUCGAACGGAAAGGCCCCUUUCGGGGUCCUCGAGUGGCGAACGGGUGAGUAACACGUGAGUAACCUUCCCUUGACUUCGGGAUAACUUCAGGAAACUGGGGCUAAUACCGGAUAGGAAUCCUUGCUGCAUGGUGGGGGUUGGAAAGCUUCGGCGGUUUUUGAUGGACUCGCGGCUUAUCAGCUUGUUGGUGGGGUAGUGGCUUACCAAGGCGUUGUCGGGUAGCCGGCCUGCGUGGGCGACCGGCCACAUUGGGACCGAGGGACGGCCCAGACUCCUAAGGGAGGGAGCAGGGGGGAAGACUGAACAAGGGGCGGAAGGCGGAUGAUGAAACGCCGCGGGCGGGAUGACGGCCUUCGGGUGGUAAACCGUUUUCAGCAGGGGCGAAGCUUGUGGUGACGGUACCUGAAGAAGAAGCAACGGCUAACUACGUG